UACGUAGGGACCAAGCGUUGUUCGGAUUUACUGGGCGUAAAGGGCGCGUAGGCGGCUUAACAAGUCACUUGUGAAAUCUCCGGGCUUAACUCGGAACGGCCAAGUGAAACUGUCAAGCUAGAGUGCAGAAGGGGCAAUCGGAAUUCUUGGUGUAGCGGUGAAAUGCGUAGAUAUCAAGAGGAACACCAGUGGCGAAGGCGAGUCCCUGGACGAUACCUGACACUGAGGCACGAAAGCCAAGGGAGCAAACAGG
rnacentral:rRNA from 1 species